UAUCAUUACAUGUAUAAUGAUUUUCUUUAUGUGUAUAUUUUUAUGCUUAUGAGUUGUGUUCAUGUAUAUUGUAUGUAUGAUAAUUUCCUAGGCAUAAAAGUAUAACAGGAAUUGCGCAUGUGUAAUACAUGUACACGUAGGCGUAGGAAUUUUAGCACCGAAAUAUUUGGUUUGUAAAGUGACAUCUUUAUGUAUUUUAGUUCUAGUUUGAACUUUGAACAUUGUAUUUUUAGGGAUGUUUAUAGAACAAAGAUUUGCAUAAUUUUUUUAUUUUGAUAUUAGAUUAAUUUUAUGUAGGUGGAAUGGCUAUUAUAUAUACAAACAUAAUCGUAUUUCGACUUUUUUGUACCAAAUAUUUUAUAGCUGUAGUCCUAAUGACAAGAUUUCUUUUUUAC
rnacentral:lncRNA from 1 species